rnacentral:rRNA from 1 species
GUGGGGAAUAUUGGACAAUGGGCGAAAGCCUGAUCCAGCCAUGCCGCGUGUGUGAAGAAGGUCUUCGGAUUGUAAAGCACUUUAAGUUGGGAGGAAGGGUAGUAACCUAAUACGUUGCUACUUUGACGUUACCGACAGAAUAAGCACCGGCUAACUUCGUGCCAGCAGCCGCGGUAAUACGAAGGGUGCAAGCGUUAAUCGGAAUUACUGGGCGUAAAGCGCGCGUAGGUGGUUCAGUAAGUUGGAAGUGAAAUCCCCGGGCUCAACCUGGGAACUGCUUUCAAAACUGCUGAGCUAGAGUACGGUAGAGGGUGGUGGAAUUUCGUGUGUAGCGGUGAAAUGCGUAGAUAUAGGAAGGAACACCAGUGGCGAAGGCGACCACCUGGACUGAUACUGACACUGAGGUGCGAAAGCGUGGGGAGCAAACAGGAUUAGAAACCCCAGUUAGUCC